GAGUCAUCGAGUUUACCAGAAAAAGGGCUGGGAUUAAGUCUGAAUUAUGUGCUCACUUAAGGACUGCGACCCAACCUGUGACCUCAGUCAAGGUUAACCUUCCAACUAACUUAGCAGAGCUCUUGUAUCGCUAAGGCCACAUGGAAAUGACCAGUGAUCACACAUCCUUAUCUCGGCCGGGCUACUCUGAGGAGUGGUGAUCUUUAAAAACACCGUCUAUAACACACUCACUCAGACCACUGUUCCUCCAGAUUGGCACAGGCAGUGAGAUGUGGGGUUCCACUCUCAGUCCGGACUUCGCUGGGCACAGGGCACAGGCAGCUCUGUCUAGGGAAAAGAUCCCCUGCCUUUCAGAAAAAGUAGAGAAUCCAGUACCCAACAAUGCUGUGAAUUUAUGGCUGUGUCGCACCACGGCGUAAUUACAAAGUGUAACCACCAAGAGGCUGGUGCACAACCUUACAUCUGUUUCCCUACGAUGGACCCCGGCCUGCAUCGUGUUUUCCAUCCAGGACCCCAAGAGUCUAGCACCAUGGAUUCUGCUGAGUCUGUGAAGAUUUUCAGAUUUUCUUGAUCACAGCUCGGAGUUCUUCAUUAGCUUGUUCCAGGUUCCCUGAAUUCAAAAAGCAAGAGGAGAAAAGGAGCCUUGCUUCUCUCAGCCAGCUCUCCUGUCUGUUCCCACCAGGGCUGCUUCCUUCCCAGCCUGGCCUGGAGCAGAGCCUUCAGACGAGAUGGGGCUCCCCUCCCCCAGGGCUCUCCAGCUGAGGAGUCACAGGCAAGUAGUGGGUGAGCCUUCUACCAGACAGUCACUCCACGGUGGGAAGCGUGUUUUAUUCUGGAAUUCAAGGCCUAUGCAGCAUGAUCUCGUCCUACCCUCCUAGCCAAGGCCUAUCCCUCCCCACUGCCCCCAGCUAGGAUGCCUUCUAUUCCUCCACUGCCUGUUCCAAACCCUCUGCCUCCAAUUCACCCACAUGAGACUCUCUCAAUACCUACUGCAGGUACUCGUCAGCACCCCCAAAAUCUGGUCUUUUAUUACAUGGGCUGAAGCCUAUCUCCUCAGCUAACCUGUCAGUCCCUAAAACCACCCUGCCUUCUACCUCACCCGGUGACAGGCUGGCCAGGGCCAGGGAUGGGUGAGCACACUGCCAGGAGGACUGGGAGCUCGGAGAGACUGGCUUCGUGCAGAGGUUCACCUAGUGCUCUGAGGCUGCUAGCAGACAGCCCUCUGCAGACCGCAGCUGUGCCUUGCUGGCCCCUCUUCCCUCUCAUUCGCGGAGUGCGUCAAGAGUUGGCUCCUUCACAGCCUCCACUUUCCCGUCUCCUGUCAUUCCCCAACCUGCUGCAAUCUGCUUUCUGUCUCACUCUCACAUCAUUACUGAGCCAACCCCAGCAGCCACCCUCCAGGACUGAGUGUGGCCAUGAAGACCAAGGCGGUUUGAGCUCAGUGGGGGAGACGCUGCUGCUAAUGGUCCCCGAUGCCAGCUCUCUGCUUCCCCCUGGCAGAGGGGCUCCUGCAGACAUCCUCUCCUCUUGGCCUCGGGACUCCUCCUGACAGAUGCAUGUUUAUUCCUUUUCAACAGAGAAAGAAGCUAGAGCUCACCACCGGGAAAUCCCUCUCUGCAGGUCACACAGCAGAAAGGGACAGCUGGAGUGAGCACGUUUGUGGUGGUCCUGUCUCUGCCCUAGCCCUGCUCCGUCCACCGCAUUUCUCCUGCUCUGUCGUGAGCAGUGGCAGGAGUCACUGCAAGUCUUUCUGGGACAAAGUGGAGCAUAAAGGCAGGGAGGGACAGCCAGCUGGCCUAGUACUCGCUGCCCCCUUUCUCAGGGCCUCCCCUCCGACAAGAAAAGGCCCAGAUGGGAGAAUUCAAGGGGAGAUAUGGCACCCCUCCCCUCUUGUCCCAGGAAUGCUCACCUUCUGUCUUGAUUUUAAGAGCUGUUCGAACCAGAGCAAACAGGGUUGCAUUAAACAUGACCGUCCCAUCACUGUUGAGAGGCAUGUUCAUGGCCACUAGUCUCUGUAAACAGAAGACGUUUCUCAAUAGAAGGCGAAUGAUGGAUGACAGCCAUGUCCCUUUUCGGUGUUGAUUCUCUGUUUAUCCCUUGACUCUUUCUAGUCAACAGGUCAAUUCCACAAUUCCUUGGGGAAGACCUACCAUCUGGGGGGGACUCGGAGCUGACACCGAUCAAGGCUUUAGUCGUGAAACACACAUGCUGGCAUAUGGAUCGUACCCUCUGCUUGUUUUUAACCUCAACUGUGUAAGACCUGACUGUCCGGGUGCUCUUCUGUCCCUCCCCAUGUCUUGGGGUCACGCCUCCCUUCUGGGCACAUCCUUAAAGCUGCGGUGAGGGUGAGACAAUACAACAGAUACAAGCCAGGCACGGGUCCUGGGACUUGGGUCCUCACUAUUCCUAACACAGGGAGUGUCCUUUGGGGAACCCUGCUCUGGUGGGUCCAUCGUGCAGUGUUUCCUACAACUCCACAUGGUUGCUCUGUCUGGUCUUUCAGAGCAGGACCCCUACUUCCUGUUUCUCUUCUCCCUUCUGGUCCCAUGAACACCAGCACUGGGAGCUGAGGAGGGGGCUUGCGGGAGUGACACCCUCUCUGGGCCCUGGUUACCUCCGCUGCAGACGCAGAUGGCACACCCAGCUGGGGUUAAGGGGAAUCGUGGAUGCAAAGAUUCAGGGGAUGCUUGGCACAUAAUCAGAGCUAAGGACUAGAAUCUCGCAUUUGCAUGACUCAUUCCACCUAAAUUUCUAGUCCUACUGUCAACCAUGUGUCUCCAAACCCAGCACAGGCCGCCACGGGAGACCGCAUGUCCAUUCGCUUUCCCUGGUAAGUUCCUGAACCAGCAAAAUGGACUGUAUUGUGCCUCAAGGAUACUUAGAUCCUUUAUAUAAAAGAGUCUGGAAAAAUAAAUACAAAACGACAGCCAUGAGCUGGAACCCAUCUCACUUUUGGAAAGCAGAAAAGAGGUUGGUACUGAAAAAUUUAUGAAAAAAAGUUAACUUCUGUGGCUUAUUCUCUGUACCUUCAUCCAGAGUCUAGGCUACAGAGAAGCAACGAUGUGGGCAAAGACCCAAGGACCCGCCAAUGUGGUUUUCUGGACUUUCGGGGCAGAGAACAAUGAGCUUGCCUCCAAAGUUUUCUUUGAAAGCCUGCAGUACAUUGUAGACUCCGCUCUGUUAUCCAGAGUUCUGCCCAGAGCUGGCCCAGC